rnacentral:rRNA from 1 species
UACAGGGGGGGCAAGCGUUGUUCGGAAUUACUGGGCGUAAAGGGUUCGUAGGUGGCCAACUAAGUCAGACGUGAAAUCCCUCAGCUUAACUGGGGAACUGCGUCUGAGACUGGAUGGCUUGAGGGAGAUAGAGGUGAGUGGAACUUAGGGUGGAGCGGUGAAAUGCGUUGAUAUCCUAAGGAACACCAGUGGCGAAAGCGACUCACUGGGUCGCUUCUGACGCUGAGGCACGAAAGCUAGGGUAGCGAACGGG